rnacentral:sRNA from 1 species
GCUGGACGUGGUGGCGCACGCCUGUAAUCCCAGCAGCUUGGGAGGCUGAGGCAGGAGGAUUGAAAGUUUAAAGCCAGCCUCAACAACCUGGUGAGGCCCUGAGCAACUUAUCAAGACCCUGUCUCUA